rnacentral:misc_RNA from 1 species
GAUGAAGAACGUAGUGAAAUGCGAUAAGUAAUGUGAAUUGCAGAAUUCAGUGAAUCAUCGAAUCUUUGAACGCACCUUGCACCCUUUGGUAUUCCGAAGGGUAUGCUCGUUUGAGUGUCAUUGUACUCUCACACUUCUAAUUCCUUUCGGGAUUGGGAGCGGUGGACUUGGGUGUUGCUGCUUUAGUUGUGGCUCACCUCAAAUAAGUUAGUGCAACUCUUGGUUGGACAUAGUACGGCGUGAUAAGUGUCUUCGCCGGCGCCUCUGUAAGGAGGGUGGCCGAUCGGGAGCUCUGUGCUUCAAACCGUCUUCGGACAAUCUUUGACAACUUGACCUCAAAUCGAGUAGGACUACCCGCUGAACUUAAGCAUAUCAUAAGCGGAGGA